UACGUAGGGUGCGAGCGUUAAUCGGAAUUACUGGGCGUAACGGGCGCGUAGGCGGUACUUCAAGUCAGGCGUGAAAGCCCCGGGCUCAACCUGGGAACCGCGCUUGAGACUGGAGAACUAGAGUUCGGGAGAGGAUGGUGGAAUUCCCAGUGUAGAGGUGAAAUUCGUAGAUAUUGGGAAGAACACCGAUGGCGAAGGCAGCCAUCUGGACCGACACUGACGCUGAGGCGCGAAAGCGUGGGGAGCAAACAGG
rnacentral:rRNA from 1 species